UGGGGAAUAUUGGACAAUGGGCGAAAGCCUGAUCCAGCCAUGCCGCGUGUGUGAAGAAGGUCUUCGGAUUGUAAAGCACUUUAAGUUGGGAGGAAGGGCAGUAACCUAAUACGUUGCUGUCUUGACGUUACCGACAGAAUAAGCACCGGCUAACUCUGUGCCAGCAGCCGCGGUAAUACAGAGGGUGCAAGCGUUAAUCGGAAUUACUGGGCGUAAAGCGCGCGUAGGUGGUUUGUUAAGUUGGAUGUGAAAUCCCCGGGCUCAACCUGGGAACUGCAUUCAAAACUGACAAGCUAGAGUAUGGUAGAGGGUGGUGGAAUUUCCUGUGUAGCGGUGAAAUGCGUAGAUAUAGGAAGGAACACCAGUGGCGAAGGCGACCACCUGGACUGAUACUGACGCUGAGGUACGAAAGCGUGGGGAGCAAACAGGAUUAGAUACCCUAGUAGUCCCUGAGCGGGCUGGCAAGGCGCAU
rnacentral:rRNA from 1 species